rnacentral:lncRNA from 1 species
UCGGUUUGAAGAAUAUGUGGCUGUGGUUGUUUCCCACUUUAUCAGUUUGUAAGCGACGUUUUGAAGUUUCAUUUCAAGCUAAAUUUAAAAAAAGAAAUACGAAUUCUUUGUUAUUGGCUUUAAUUGCUCCUAAGUCCUAGCACUCUGAUUUGCUCCAAUAUAUAAACACAAACCUGCAGACAAUCUAAAUCUAUCAAAAACCAGACACAUUCAAGAAGAAAUAAACAUGCUACUGCAGUCUGCUCUCCCACUGUCUCAUGGCUUCCUUUUCAUCCUCUUGUUCUCUUCCAUUAUUUCUACAAAUAUUCAUGCAUGCAACCAAACUGAAUGCAGAACCCCCAUGUCCUUCUCCCCCAAUACGUCUUCUCAUCCUAUAAAUUGGACUUCCCUUAGUUCUUUCCAUUUAGUGGGCAUCCCUCAUCGUCAACAAGGUCGGCUUCUAGAUGCAGGAGACACCAGUAAAGGCGGUAAUUUUCCCCCACUUAAGAAACAUAUUUCACCCACAAUUUAUAAUUUAGAUCAAUGGAAUUUGAUUGCUUGGGUCCAAAAGUAUUGUAUAUGAACAUGGCAUCCCGACGUGAUGUUAUCGAUUCACACAAAUUUAGAAUAUGUUACUUAUGAGUCACCACAUGUUAUAAUUUGAAUGAAUUGGUAACGUGCCACAUGGUGUUAUAACUAAACACAAUUCUUCAUAUCUUUUUAUUUUUUAGGAUUAAAUACUUUUUGGUUAUUGGGUUUUAUAUGAAAAUUCAAUUUGGUCACUGAGAAAAAAAUUUAGCCAAAUUUGUCAUUGUGUUUCUCAAAGUACACAAUUUAUAGACAUUCGCAUGGUUUUAUAUAUACUAAUCCAUUGUCUGGUUUUAUUACUUUGAGCAGGGGUCAUUGGAAAUAGGAGUUAGAUUUCAUGGAUGCAAGCUUUUUCAUUGUGGAUCUCCAUUUUGGUGGCGCUCCACAAUAUAUCACGUUACUCGGUUUCAAGAGUUUAUUCGAAUUGUAUCUUCAUAUAUUUUAGAAUGCUCCAUCAAUCUUUUCAGCGACACCUUCACUCUCCAUAUCUGCAGGCAAACGCGUGAAUAAGCCUUAAUGCAUCUAUAAAAAAAUACAUACAUUAGUACCAACUUAUUUAUUUACUUCCAAUCUCAGCAGCCUCAGAAAUUGGCCAAGAGAUUAUCUUGUAUCCAAGCUUGAUGAAUCAAUGAUAACUUGGGCUUUACGUAAUCCAUCUCCCAAAUCAAACUACUUUGAUUGCACUUUACCUCAUAUGAUUUUUCAGUCUUUUUAAUAUAAUAGCUUGCAGGCAUCAUAUAUUUACAAAUUAGAAAUCAUAUGAGGUAAAGCCUAGUAGGUGUUGGGGUAUAUCAGAAAAGGCCUCGGUACUAUUAGUAGUGGAACCAUUCAUAAGGCCUCGGUGCUAUUAGUAGUGGAACCAUUCAUUAUAUGUU